rnacentral:rRNA from 1 species
CAGCCGCCGCGGUAAUACGUAGGGUGCAAGCGUUAAUCGGAAUUACUGGGCGUAAAGCGUGCGCAGGCGGUUCGGAAAGAAAGAUGUGAAAUCCCAGGGCUCAACCUAGGAACUGCAUUUUUAACUACCGGACUAGAGUAUGUCAGAGGGAGGUGGAAUUCCACGUGUAGCAGUGAAAUGCGUAGAUAUGUGGAGGAACACCGAUGGCGAAGGCAGCCUCCUGGGAUAAUACUGACGCUCAUGCACGAAAGCGUGGGGAGCAAACAGGAUUAGAUACCCGAGUAGUCCCUGUCUCUUAUAC